rnacentral:tRNA from 1 species
ACGUGCGUAGCUCAACUGGAAGAGCACCGGUCUCCAAAACCGGCGGUUGCAGGUUCGACCCCUGCCGCACGUGCGA